rnacentral:tRNA from 1 species
GCGGAGUUAGCUAAGUUUGGCCUACGGCGCCGGUCUUGAAAACCGGUGGAGAAUCUCCACGGGAGUUCGAAUCUCCCACUCCGCGCCA